rnacentral:rRNA from 1 species
CAAUAGCGUAUAUUUAAGUUGCUGCAGUUAAAAAGCUCGUAGUUGGAUUUCGGGUGGGAAUGGCCGGUCCGCCGUUUCGGUGUGCACUUGCUACGCCCACCUUGCUGCCGGGGACGUGCUCUUGAGUUCACGCUCGGGACACGGAGUCGGCGAGGUUACUUUGAGUAAAUUAGAGUGUUCAAAGCAGGCCUACGCUCUGAAUACAUUAGCAUGGAAUAACACGAUAGGACUCUGGCCUAUCUUGUUGGUCUGUAGGACCGGAGCAAUGAUUAAGAGGGACAGUCGGGGGCAUUCGUAUUUCAUUGUCAGAGGUGAAAUUCUUGGAUUUAUGAAAGACGAACUACUGCGAAAGCAUUUGCCAAGGAUGUUUUCAUUAA